rnacentral:rRNA from 1 species
AGACAGUGUCAGGCGGGCAGUUUGACUGGGGCGGUCGCCUCCUAAAAGGUAACGGAGGCGCUCAAAGGUUCCCUCAGAAUGGUUGGAAAUCAUUCAUAGAGUGUAAAGGCAUAAGGGAGCUUGACUGCGAGACCUACAAGUCGAGCAGGGUCGAAAGACGGACUUAGUGAUCCGGUGGUUCCGCAUGGAAGGGCCAUCGCUCAACGGAUAAAAGCUACCCCGGGGAUAACAGGCUUAUCUCCCCCAAGAGUUCACAUCGACGGGGAGGUUUGGCACCUCGAUGUCGGCUCAUCGCAUCCUGGGGCUGUAGUCGGUCCCAAGGGUUGGGCUGUUCGCCCAUUAAAGCGGUACGCGAGCUGGGUUCAGAACGUCGUGAG